UGACGGUAUCGCAGAAUGGCUCAUUCUCCGUUCAUAUGGUCAUAAAAUGGGGGGACAAAGGGCUGAAUAUUUACGAUAUUUUUAGAGCGCAGUCACACGGAAGGCGGAGCACGGAUGCUUCACGGCCAAGGAUGAGAGUGUCAGACAGCAGGUGGAGACUGACUGCUGAAGGAAAGAACGAGACGAGAACCGACCACAAAAACUCAUUUGAUGAGGAAGAGAGGAAAUAUCAGCUACCUGAUCCUCUCUAAAUGAGUGGGCCCUGAUAGCGUGAACCAUGGUGGACCCAUUGGAACCUGAUGACCAGGGUAAAUUCAGAGGGGCCCAGUUUGAAAGCCCAGCUGCUGCCUCUGAAGCACCAUGUCUACCUGAGCCAGGUGAUGAUAGAGAGAAAGAUGUUACUGUGGAUCCCAGUCCACAGACAGAGCCCAGUAUUGAACCUGUACCAAGCUCUCAAGAACCAUGCCAGCAGCAAAACAGUCAACCAGAAGAGCUAAAACUACAUCUGGACCUUUACAAUUUUGACUCGCCAGCUGCAGAAGGCAGUCGGUAUGUACUGACAAGCCCUCGCUCUCUUGAGGCAUGUGCAAGAUGUGGAGUGAAACCUGUGGAACUUCUGCCUCGUCCACUGUCUGAUUUUGCCCGUGAGGCACCCGGACGCAGUAUGCGUGUCGCCACAGGAAUGUUUGAGAUAUACGAGAGGGAUAGACAUGCUAAACUCCGACAUUGCAGAGAGGAGAGAGAGCGGAUUAUCAGAGAGGAGAAGAGGCGAAUUCUGCAGGCAGCUCUCAACAAUAAUGGUGGUCCGCUGGCUUCAGAGAAGUCAGAGGAAACUGUAAAUGCUGGAUUGCCUCAACAAACCAAUCAAAAUUUAACAAAUCAAGCCAACAAAUUGGCCCCUACCUGCAGUGGUGCACCCAAAAAACAAUCUACAUCAGCUACUCCUAAAAGCAUGACAGCGGGAUCAGGACAGGUUACUUCGGUGUCCACAUCCAGCUGUCCUCCUGUCUCAAAAGCCAAUCCAGUGAGCUCUGCUACUAUUGCUAAAGGAACUUCUGCAAAAAAGUCCAAGUCCUUUGAAGUAGAAUCUGGGGGAAAACCUCAAGGUUCAAAACCUUCAUUAAUCCAACGAUCAAUUCAGUCAGCUCCGGGAGGUCAGGCCACAAAAAAAACUUACAGUACUCCUACAAAGGCUCCAAAUACCUUUCCCAGAUCAAUACCAAAACCUGCUUCUUUUCCAAGGACACCAACUUCACUUGCCCCAAUAGUGUCAAAAUCUGCUGUCCAAAGUCCUGCCAAUGGCAUCACAGGUACGUUUGCACAGCAUAAUGGACACUUCAUCUCCAAAUCAAAGGUUAGAUGCAGAAGCCACUCGCUGGAGUCUUUGCAACGAAGGCGUGACACGUUUUGUUCCUCGACUGCUUCGACAACGAACACCACAACUACCACUUGUACCUCCUCUGAAUCUGCUUCCUCAUCGUAUAGCUGGGAUGGGGCAAGAGAUCACUGGGCUAAGACAUCAAGCCCUCGUGCCCGCACUUUAGCUACCUUUAACUCCUUGAUGGGUCGCAGUUUGAGCUUGGGAGACCUUAGCCACUCUCCACAGACUAUGCAAAAAGUGGAGCGCAUUGUGAAGGAGGUGAAACGCAGAGGACUUAAAGCUGUUCCAGAACGUGACCGAAAGAUUGCUGCAUUAAUGCUAGCCAGGUACCAAGAGGAGGACAUAAUGAGCCAGACACGCUACGUAGCACACCUGCAAUGGGACAGUGAGCGGCGACUAGAAGAGCUGCGACGGGAACGUGAAGAGCGGGAGAAACAGAGGGCCGUGCAGCAAUGCCAACGCGCAUGGCAGUCACAAGUUUCUACCCGGCAGCGCUGGCUUAACCAGCAGGAGCGAGAGGCUGCAGAAGCCAAACUUCGCCAAGCAGUGGAAAAUGAGGAGCGUUGGAAGGAAUUGGCUGAGCAACAAGAACGAAGCCGGUUGCAGAAACUGCAACAGGCUGCUCGUGAGGAGAAACACAAGAAGGCAUUACAAGAACAGAACCUUAAAGCUCUGGAGGAGGAACGAGCUGCCGUUCUUGAGCAAGAGAAACUGCUCCUCAAGGAGAAACUGACUAUUGCUGAGCUGAAGCGGCAGGAGAGAGAGCACCAAAUUCAAGAGGAGCGUCGUGGACUCAACCGUGCUGAGAAGAGGCGCCAUGCAGCUCUUAUCCAAGAGAUUGCACGUCGUGAAGCAGAUGAGCGUGAAGAAGCACGGAGAACAGCCGAUGAGAAGCUAAGUAGGUCUUUGGAGAACUAUGAGCAGAUACAAGAAAAACGUGGGCAAGAGUUAAAGGAGAAAGCUAAGCGAGAAGAGAAGCAGAUCCAGAAAGCAAGACGGGCCGCUGAGCUACGUGAGCAACAGCAGAAGGAACAAAUGGAGGCAAAGGCUAGGGAAGCCGAAAGACGGGCACAACAAGCCGCUCAAGUAGCCGAAGAACGGGCGCGGGAGAAGGCCCAACGUGCGGUGCAAAGCAGGCAGGAAAAAGAACGACUUCAGAGGCUUAACCGUCAACGUGUAGAGGAAGAGGAGAAACAGCGCCGGCUAGAGUUGUUGCAGUCCAUUGAGCGCAAACUCGAAAAAAGUGAACAGAUUUUCAGAGAAAAACGUGCAGUGUUGGAAAGUGCCCGAUCCGUGGCCCGUGCAUCUUUCCAUGUGCGAGAUCGUGUUCGUGAAGAGACAAACAUGCGCACCUUUGACAAGAUGGCCCUGGAGGCUCAGUUAAAAGCAAAUUUAGUUGAGAAAGUCAGGACAUGACAAAGAAUGAUCUCAGCACAGUUAACUGCUGAUGAAGCACAGGAGUCUUUGGUCAGCAACAGACCCAAAUCCACAUUGACAUCCCCUGCAUUCCUUCAGAUUUGGGAGUAGAGAAGAGGAUGUUGACAUCUGCGGCCUGAUUCAGUGAAAAACAACCCCCAAGAGACUGCAAAAGGCAUUUCACUUUGAUUACGGACCCUUAUUCCCUUUCUGGCAGUGACUCAGCUAGGCAUGAUGUAAUUGGAAGGUUUAAUAAACACUGAAGCCAUUUUAUUUCCAGCAUAUCCAGAUGGCACAACAAUGCCACUUUUAAUAGCAUAAAAAGCCAGAAGAAACCAUUUCAUUGUGUUACAGGUUAAAUUUAGUUUUUUUUUUUUCUCUCUUUUUUAAUAGAAGCAAAAUAGUUGUGCUGGAUAGUAACCAAAUAAUUGAUUAUUACUAAUUAUUGUAGCUAAUAAGUCAUAACUAUCUCAGUUUUAAUGAUGACAACCAAAAGAGUGUUCUGAAUAUAACUGAGUCAUAACAGAGCUUUUGAUGCAUAUCUGGAAAGUAAGCUACAAGUAAAUAAAAUACAGAUCAUGUUUGGUUCAAACUGGCAUUGAUAAACUGACAUCAAUUUUGCUAAGGUAAAUUUUGCCAGCAAUGACUUGAAGAUGAUUGUAGCAUUCUUAUUUUAAAUCUAAAAGUAUAUCUUAUCAAGGUGUUAUAUUUUUGUCUCUGUACCAUUCUUUUGUUAAUUAUCUAAAUGAAAAUAUGUUUCCUGUUGGCAGCAGAUGUUUUAUUUCUCAUUCCAUAGCCUAUGGCAAAGAAAUAUGUAGUUUAUUAAUAAGGAACAUGCAGGUGACACUUUACUUUAAAAUGGCACUCUGUAUUAAAAAAUAAUAAAAAAUAAGUUUAAACAAUUUA